UUUUAUAUUACUCUGACUCGAUUCAUGCACUUUCGAAUAUAGCGAUCAUGCUCAUUAAUAAAAAACUUAGGUUUAGUCCCCUUCAUUGUAAAAUCCAAAAACAUUCUUCUCUAUUUUGUUCUUUCUUUCCCAUCUAAUAACUUGAGAAACCUAACAUUUCAAACUAAUACUAACAUGCACAACUAACCUAAUGGUUCCCGUUGAGUACAACGGACAUGAGGGGUG
rnacentral:lncRNA from 1 species